AACGAACGCUGGCGGCAUGCCUAACACAUGCAAGUCGAACGAGACCUUCGGGUCUAGUGGCGCACGGGUGCGUAACGCGUGGGAACCUGCCCUUAGGUUCGGAAUAACUCCCCGAAAGGGGUGCUAAUACCGGAUAAUGUCUUCGGACCAAAGAUUUAUCGCCUUUGGAUGGGCCCGCGUUGGAUUAGCUAGUUGGUAGGGUAAAAGCCUACCAAGGCGACGAUCCAUAGCUGGUCUGAGAGGAUGAUCAGCCACACUGGGACUGAGACACGGCCGAGACUCCUACGGGAGGCAGCAGUGGGGAAUAUUGGACAAUGGGCGAAGGCCUGAUCCAGCAAUGCCGCGUGAGUGAUGAAGGCCUUAGGGUUGUAAAGCUCUUUUACCCGGGAUGAUAAUGACAGUACCGGGAGAAUAAGCUCCGGCUAACUCCGUG
rnacentral:rRNA from 1 species